GUUAUCGUUUAUUUGAUAGUACCUUACUACUUGGAUAACCGUGGUAAUUCUAGAGCUAAUACAUGCUGAAAACCCCAACUUCGGGAGGGGUGUGUUUAUUAGAUAAAAAACCAACGCCCUUCGGGGCUUCUUGGUGAUUCAUGAUAACUUCACGGAUCGCAUGGCCUUGCGCCGGCGACGGUUCAUUCAAAUUUCUGCCCUAUCAACUUUCGAUGGUAAGGUAUUGGCUUACCAUGGUCUCAACGGGUAACGGGGAAUUAGGGUUCGAUUCCGGAGAGGGAGCCUGAGAAACGGCUACCACAUCCAAGGAAGGCAGCAGGCGCGCAAAUUACCCAAUCCCGACACGGGGAGGUAGUGACAAUAAAUACUGAUACAGGGCUCUUUUGGGUCUUGUAAUUGGAAUGAGUACAAUUUAAACCUCUUAACGAGGAACAAUUGGAGGGCAAGUCUGGUGCCAGCAGCCGCGGUAAUUCCAGCUCCAAUAGCGUAUAUUAAAGUUGUUGCAGUUAAAAAGCUCGUAGUUGAAACUUGG
rnacentral:rRNA from 1 species